rnacentral:rRNA from 1 species
CCGACCUGCACGAAUGGCGUAAUGAUGGCCAGGCUGUCUCCACCCGAGACUCAGUGAAAUUGAACUCGCUGUGAAGAUGCAGUGUACCCGCGGCAAGACGGAAAGACCCCGUGAACCUUUACUAUAGCUUGACACUGAACACUGGUCCUUGAUGUGCAGGAUAGGUGGGAGGCUUUGAAGCGCGGACGCCAGUUCGUGUGGAGCCAUCCUUGAAAUACCACCCUUUAAUGGCUGGUGUUCUAACGUAGACCCGUGAUCCGGGUUGCGGACAGUGUCUGGUGGGUAGUUUGACUGGGGCGGUCUCCUCCUAAAGAGUAACGGAGGAGCACGAAGGUUAGCUAAUCCUGGUCGGACAUCAGGAGGUUAGUGCAAAGGCAUAAGCUAGCUUGACUGCGAGCGUGACGGCGCGAGCAGGUGCGAAAGCAGGUC